UACGUACUCCGCAAGUGGUAUCCGCUUAUAUUGGGCCUAAAGAGUUCGUAGCCGGUCCAUUAAGUCUUUAGUGAAAUCAGUUCGCUCAACGGAUUGAAUUGCUAAAGAUACUGGUGGGCUCGAGGCCGGGAGACGUCAAGGGAAUUUCCGGGGUAGCGGUGAAAUGCUAUGAUCCUGGAAGGACUACCAGUAGCGAAGGCGCUUGACGAGAACGGACCUGACGGUGAGGAACGAAAGCUGGGGGAGCGACCGGGAUUAGAUACCCGUGUA
rnacentral:rRNA from 1 species